GAGCUUGCUCCUUUGACGUUAGCGGCGGACGGGUGAGUAACACGUGGGUAACCUACCUAUAAGACUGGGAUAACUUCGGGAAACCGGAGCUAAUACCGGAUAACAUUUGGAACCGCAUGGUUCUAAAGUGAAAGAUGGUUUUGCUAUCACUUAUAGAUGGACCCGCGCCGUAUUAGCUAGUUGGUAAGGUAACGGCUUACCAAGGCAACGAUACGUAGCCGACCUGAGAGGGUGAUCGGCCACACUGGAACUGAGACACGGUCCAGACUCCUACGGGAGGCAGCAGUAGGGAAUCUUCCGCAAUGGGCGAAAGCCUGACGGAGCAACGCCGCGUGAGUGAUGAAGGGUUUCGGCUCGUAAAACUCUGUUAUUAGGGAAGAACAAAUGUGUAAGUAACUGUGCACAUCUUGACGGUACCUAAUCAGAAAGCCACGGCUAACUACGUGCCAGCAGCCGCGGUAAUACGUAGGUGGCAAGCGUUAUCCGGAAUUAUUGGGCGUAAAGCGCGCGUAGGCGGUUUCUUAAGUCUGAUGUGAAAGCCCACGGCUCAACCGUGGAGGGUCAUUGGAAACUGGGAAACUUGAGUGCAGAAGAGGAAAGUGGAAUUCCAUGUGUAGCGGUGAAAUGCGCAGAGAUAUGGAGGAACACCAGUGGCGAAGGCGACUUUCUGGUCUGUAACUGACGCUGAUGUGCGAAAGCGUGGGGAUCAAACAGGAUUAGAUACCCUGGUAGUCCACGCCGUAAACGAUGAGUGCUAAGUGUUAGGGGGUUUCCGCCCCUUAGUGCUGCAGCUAACGCAUUAAGCACUCCGCCUGGGGAGUACGACCGCAAGGUUGAAACUCAAAGGAAUUGACGGGGACCCGCACAAGCGGUGGAGCAUGUGGUUUAAUUCGAAGCAACGCGAAGAACCUUACCAAAUCUUGACAUCCUUUGAAAACUCUAGAGAUAGAGCCUUCCCCUUCGGGGGACAAAGUGACAGGUGGUGCAUGGUUGUCGUCAGCUCGUGUCGUGAGAUGUUGGGUUAAGUCCCGCAACGAGCGCAACCCUUAAGCUUAGUUGCCAUCAUUAAGUUGGGCACUCUAGGUUGACUGCCGGUGACAAACCGGAGGAAGGUGGGGAUGACGUCAAAUCAUCAUGCCCCUUAUGAUUUGGGCUACACACGUGCUACAAUGGACAAUACAAAGGGCAGCUAAACCGCGAGGUCAUGCAAAUCCCAUAAAGUUGUUCUCAGUUCGGAUUGUAGUCUGCAACUCGACUACAUGAAGCUGGAAUCGCUAGUAAUCGUAGAUCAGCAUGCUACGGUGAAUACGUUCCC
rnacentral:rRNA from 1 species